ACUUCAGAGCCAAACAAUCAAAACUGUAAGUCUCAUAUGUGAAGUUGUUUUUUCCUUUUAAUAUUACUCGUCAUCUAAUGAAGUCUUCACAAUCGUAUAGAUUUUAAAAUACACAAACGUGGAACAUUUACUAAAGGUUCGUGUAGACAUAAUAAACUAUUGUUUAAUUUAGAGUGAAUGAUCAUUUAGUAUCGAGUUACACGAUCAUUCACAAUCGUUGAGUGAACGCGAACGAGAAAACUGAUAAAAGUACGGGCAUGACAAUGGAAGAGAAUCAUAAUGAAACACAAUUUCAUCUAAUUUAACAUGAAAUUAAAAUUUUUAGAAAUGUAAAUUCAAGAACACUUACUUGAAUUUUGAAAUUCUCCUUUGAUUCUUGAUCAUUUUGUCAAUUCCAAGCCGUAGAUACCACAAGAGUCUUCUCUACUGUUCUUUGGUUUUUAUAUUAUAUUGUAUUUACUCUAUGGAAACUUUUAUAUCAAAGUAUGACAUUUUUUCACAUACACCAUUUGUAUAUAUGAUAUCUACCGUUUUCUAACAAUCAAUUUUUCAAAAGUCUAGAUUUUUUACUAUAUAGACAAUUUUUGUUAUAUACUUUUACCAGUUGUUUAAACAACCAAGCCAAAACUUGAAAACUAGAAAACAACUUUUAAAUUUUUGCUUUUGUGUUUUGGAAUUCUACUAAGAAUUCAACAACCACACAAAUAAUACGCAAAACAUUAUAACAAAUGAGGAGAAAAUAUAUUUAAAUUUUAGAAGAUAAAAAAUAAAUGAUUAGCGAAUGGGGAACUUACUUUCUCAUACUCAUAAAAAGUGUUGCUACAAUAAAUAGUAAUACUAUUUCGUAAUCUCCAAAUAUGCAGUUUUUUUUAUUUACUAUUGCAUGCUAGAUUACCUAUUGGUAACCCCAAGUUAUUACAAUGUAUUUGAAUGACUAUAAAAUGAUGCAAGAUAUCACACGUUUUACAAACACAGUGCAACCUUCAAAUUUGGUAAAGAUUGCACUAACCUCUCCUAUAAUAGUGUCAAAUAUAUCUACAAAAUUUUCUACCUUGGUUAUAUUUUAAAAACUUUAUUAACAAUAUAAGUAAUUAUUAUUAAAUAAUACAUAAUAUAUAAUUUUAAUAACAAUUUGAAAUUACAUUUUAGAUUAGAUUCAUUUCAGGCUUUUUAUUUUAAAAAGAAUUCUUUUUUGGUGGCAGUGCAAAUUACUUUUUGAUGAAGAAGCUACUUGGCAAGAAGAAAAUCCUUUGCUUUGCGCCUAAUGUAUGAAGACUUUGAAGGGUUGAAGGGAACAAAGUUGGAAGCUCCAAUUGUUAUUGCUCGUUAUUGCAACUGUCGGAGGACUUUGAAGGUUUAAAGGAGCUUUGAUGGUGAUGAUUUUCAACUUUUUGGAAAAAAUUAGGAUUUUGAUAAGCGUUAAUUGAUUUCAACCCAAAUUACGUUUAUUAAUAAUUUUUAUUUUAAAAAAUUCUAUUUUGGUGGCAGCGCAAAUUAUGUUUUGAUGAAGAAGCUACUCAGGAAG
rnacentral:lncRNA from 1 species